UAUGCUGGAAAUUGAGAUAUUUGUGGCAUUGGGCACAUAUAAACUUUUUAUUCAUUGAGUUGAGCUUUGAGAGUUUUAGCAUAGUAGAUAUUAGUUUACAAAGCUAAUAUGAGGAUAGACUUUUAGCAUGUUUGGUUUGCGGUGGAAAGCUCGUAGAGGUGCGUAUGUCCAGAAGCUAAGAAUUCUAGCUUCUUAAAAUCAUGUGGAAAUCACAUUGGAACACGCAUUGAAGGGUUGUCGUGGUUUUUUUGAUUAUGAUGGUGAAGUAUAGUAUUAAUCAUGUGCUUAGCAGUUUUCCGUGCAUGUAUCAGCUCGCCGAAGGUGGUACAGCUGUAGGAACUGGAUUGAAUACUGUUCUUGGCGUCUAUCAUCACAUGCAGAAAAACAUUGGCUUGUAAUGUGCUCAUAUUCUCCUUUUGCAGGCUGCCCGUGAUGCUUUUGUUGAAACUAUUAUAUGAAGGCAUUAAGAGACGGUUGGGAGAGCCAAUUUCAGUGGGUGUGGACGAUCAACAGACUUUGAUGCUGCAGCCAGUACAGAAAAAUCUCUUGAGACAUGCUCACUUGUAGAGCAUAUAUUACAUUUGGAACCAACCGAGGUGAAGUAUAGUAUUAAUCAUGUGCUUAGCAGUUUUCCGUGCAUGUAUCAGGUUUGAAUACUUAAACACAAACAUCAAAUGCUUGUUCUUCACUCGUAUGCUUCUGGAGUUCUGAUUGGGUAGUUUUUACUUGAGCAGCUCGCCGAAGGUGGUACAGCUGUAGGAACUGGAUUGAAUACUGUUCUUGGCGUCUAUCAUCACAUGCAGAAAAACAUUGGCUUGUAAUGUGCUCAUAUUCUCCUUUUGCAGGCUGCCCGUGAUGCUUUUGUUGAAACUAUUAUAUGAAGGCAUUAAGAGACGGUUGGGAGAGCCAAUUUCAGUGGGUGUGGACGAUCAACAGACUUUGAUGCUGCAGCCAGUACAGAAAAAUCUCUUGAGACAUGCUCACUUGUAGAGCAUAUAUUACAUUUGGAACCAACCGAGGGGGAAGAUAUUAGUGUAUGUGUUUGUUUAGCAAGUUUGAUGUCAUUAUUUGAUGAAAAAGGAGACAAAGCAGGAUCCACCUACAUUGAGUUGAAAAAUUGUCAUUUGAAGGUGACAAAAUUUAGCUUUCUUUGAAGUUAACUACUUAGUUUCUUAUUCUCUCUAAACCCUGAAAUGAUCCUUGUUGCCAUGUGAUUUAAGUUGGAAAGCAAGCAUGAAGCUGCCUCAGCUAUUGUUGAUGUUGCACAUUACUAUAAAAAAUUAAUAUAAAUGCCAUGUUUGUGAGUGUGCGGUUAUUUAUAGCCACAAUGCAUUUGUUAGAGUGGCAUCACUUGUAUUAUGAUUAAGAAAGUAGAAAUUUCAAUGCUAAUUUUCAUCUA